GACCCCGUAGUUCAAUGGAUAGAACAAGGGUUUCCUAAACCUUAGAUACAGGUUCGAUUCCUGUCGGGGUCACCA
rnacentral:tRNA from 3 species